rnacentral:lncRNA from 1 species
CUAGCAAUUGCUACAAAUAGGAUCACUGUUAUUUAAGAUAGGUAAUUUCACUGGAAAGUGAAAUCUGUGUGAAAACUUCAACAAGGAUCACAUAAAUCUCUUGCUACAUAGAGAAAUCUGCAGGCUUAGCAAGGGAUGAGCUCUCAGCUAGAAAUAUGAGCACAAAUAUGAAUUGUUGGGGUUCUUUUAAGAAAAUAGAAGGAUAAAUGCUGCUGAGAACUUUGAAGAUUCAGAAUGAAUGUGAAUACCAGCCUGUUCGAUGGACAUUUUCCUCACACUAGCCAGUUGUAAAGCCCUGGAGAAAAUCUGAGCUGCUUUCUGAAAAUUGUCUAUGUCCUGUCACUUCAAGUAAGGAGAUUCUGUUUCAAAGUGCUGGGAUUGGAGCCCACAUCCUCACACAUGCUACCACUCAAGUGUUCUACCACUGAACUACACUCACAGUCCUCCUCUUCUGAUUUUCAUAUUAAAACACCAGGAAUGAACCCUCUCAUCAUGUGUAGACACAGAGAGAUGGAAGUCAUCUGCAAGCAAAGGAAUGAAGACCCUCAAAACCAAACCUACCAACAUCAUGAACUUGGAUAUUUAGCCUUCAGAACUUUGAAAAGAUAGAGUUAUUUAAACAUCUUAGUGAGAAAUAUUUUUAUGGAAGUCUUAGCAAAUUAAUGGAGUCAGUUUUCUCAAGAGGCUUAUGUUUUAGAGAGUUUUAGCUUCAGGGAAAAAUUGAGCAAAAUAUAGAGAAGGAAUAUUUUCCACAGUGCCUCUACACAUGCGUAGCUUCCUACGUUAUUAACAAUCACCAACAGAAUGGUACAUUUGUUAUAAUUGUUGAAGUUUUGUGACACAUAAUUAUUAUCCAAAGUCCAUGUUAUACAGAGGGUUCAUAGUUGGUGUUGAAUAUUUCCUGGAUUAAAAAAAUGUGUAAUGUAUUUAUUUACCUUUAUAGUACUAUACAAAUAGUUUCACUGGUGAAAAGAAAAAUCUUCUAUGCUCUAUUAGUCCUUCUCCAUAACCCCUGAAACCACUGGUCUUUUUAUUAUCUCCACAUAUUUUUAUUUUUCAGAAUUUUUGAGCAGUUGAAGUCAAACUAUCUAAAAGGAUUUGAAUUUGGCUUUUGCCACAUAGUAAUGUAC